rnacentral:rRNA from 1 species
GAUGAACGCUAGCGGCAGGCCUAAUACAUGCAAGUCGAACGGUGUAGCAAUACACAGUGGCGCACGGGUGCGUAACACGUAUGCAACCUACCUUACAUUGGGGGAUAGCCUUUCGAAAGGGAGAUUAAUACCGCAUAAGACAGUAACUAGGCAUCUAGUAGCUGUUAAAGAUUUAUCGAUGUAAGCUGGGCAUGGGUCCAAUUAGUUAGUUGGCGAGGUAAUGGCUCACCAAGACGAUGAUUGGUAGGGGAACUGAGAGGUCAAUCCCCCACACUGGGACUGAGAUACGGGCCAGACUCCUACGGGAGGCAGCAGUAGGGAAUAUUGGGCAAUGGGCGCAAGCCUGACCCAGCCAUGCCGCGUGCAGGAAGGAGGCGUUAUGCGUUGUAAACUGCUUUUAUACAGGAAGAAACGACCCUUGCGAGGGGCAUUGACGGUACUGUAUGAAUAAGCACCGGCUAACUCCGUGCCAGCCGCCGCAGUAAAAC